CAGUAUUUACCGCAUGGUAGAUGCUUGAAAGGAGCAAUUGCUUCACUAUGAGAUGGACCUGCGUUGUAUUAGCUAGUUGGUGAGGUAACGGCUCACCAAGGCUUCGAUACAUAGCCGACCUGAGAGGGUGAUCGGCCACACUGGGACUGAGACACGGCCCAGACUCCUACGGGAGGCAGCAGUAGGGAAUCUUCGGCAAUGGGGGCAACCCUGACCGAGCAACGCCGCGUGAGUGAAGAAGGUUUUCGGAUCGUAAAGCU
rnacentral:rRNA from 1 species